CUGGUUGAUCCUGCCAGUAGUCAUAUGCUUGUCUCAAAGAUUAAGCCAUGCAUGUCUAAGUUCAAGCGAAAAUAAAGUGAAACCGCGAAUGGCUCAUUACAUCAGUUAUGGUUCCUUAGAUCGCACUUACUACUUGGAUAACUGUGGUAAUUCUAGAGCUAAUACAUGCGCUGAGCUCCAACCCUCGUGGAAGGAGCGCUUUUAUUAGAUCAAAGCCAAUCGGGCCUUCGGGUCCGUUACAUUGGUGACUCUGAAUAACUUUGCUGAUCGCACGGUCUCGUACCGGCGACGUAUCUUUCAAGUGUCUGCCUUAUCAACUGUCGAUGGUAGGUUAUGCGCCUACCAUGGUGGUAACGGGUAACGGGGAAUCAGGGUUCGAUUCCGGAGAGGGAGCCUGAGAAACGGCUACCACAUCCAAGGAAGGCAGCAGGCGCGCAAAUUACCCACUCCCAGCUCGGGGAGGUAGUGACGAAAAAUAACGAUACGGAACUCUUAUGAGGCUCCGUAAUCGGAAUGAGUACACUUUAAAUCCUUUAACGAGGAUCUAUUGGAGGGCAAGUCUGGUGCCAGCAGCCGCGGUAAUUCCAGCUCCAAUAGCGUAUAUU
rnacentral:ncRNA from 1 species